UCGCACUGUGGUGGAUUCCUCGAAAGUUUAUGUGAAUUGCAGCCACGUUGAACAUAGAAAUUUUGAACGCACAUUGCGGUGUUGAGUUGACUCGACGCCGCGUCUGUCUGAGGGUCG
rnacentral:rRNA from 1 species